GGGGAUAGAAAUGGACCCCGCUAAGGUCAAGGCUGUCACAGAACGGGGGGGAGGCCCCACAUACAGACACUGCAUGAAGGCGGCAGUUUCUUCUGUCUUCUCAAUAUUAACAAGGAGAGAGCUAUCCUAACUGUAUUCCAGAAACUGAGGCAGGGUUGGAUAUGGACAGUAAGUCUGUAAGCAACAAGAAAUUUGGCUACUGAAUCUUUGAUUGGUUUAUUUCAAGAAAGUGAAUGUCUUCAUGUCUGACAAUAAGGUACAAUGAAAGGAAAAAAUACUCUCCAAAUUUUUUUUUUUAAAUCUCAGGCAAAGAUAUACAGUAUUUCCUGAUUUUAUACUUUAUAAAGUAGGUAUCUGCAAAGAUGUUUGUCCAUGUAAAAUACCAUUUAAGAUUUAAUGGAAAUAAUGCCUCAAAAUCUUUAAUCUUGCACACCAAUUGUACUUACACAUGCAAGUUCUACUUUUUACAUUUAUAUCACACUAUGCUUUUCUGAGAUAUAAAGAAAUAUAUUUCUGUAUAUUCUGUAUAUUUUAUUUUUUAAAAAGUCAGGAAAAUAUCUAUUAUUAAAAUAUUUAUUUAUUUAGCCCUUGAGUUAGUGUUGACACCUGGUGACUACCUGGACAAAUCCCUGAUGUUUAUGGAAUCUAGUAAACUUGAAGAAUAUUUUGCCCUCAAUAUGUGUAUUAUUUGAAUUUUUCAUUAUGUAGCACUUACCCUGAAAAUAUUCACAUAAUUGUUUUCUAACAAAGUAUAUUAUUGUCAUAUUUGAUUUA